CCUGGCUCAGAGCGAACGCUGGCGGCAGGCUUAACACAUGCAAGUCGAGCGGGCCCUUCGGGGUCAGCGGCGGACGGGUGAGUAACGCGUGGGAACGUGCCUUCUGGUUCGGAAUAACCCUGGGAAACUAGGGCUAAUACCGGAUACGCCCUUUUGGGGAAAGGUUUACUGCCGGAAGAUCGGCCCGCGUCUGAUUAGCUAGUUGGUGGGGUAACGGCCUACCAAGGCGACGAUCAGUAGCUGGUCUGAGAGGAUGAUCAGCCACACUGGGACUGAGACACGGCCCAGACUCCUACGGGAGGCAGCAGUGGGGAAUAUUGGACAAUGGGCGCAAGCCUGAUCCAGCCAUGCCGCGUGAGUGAUGAAGGCCUUAGGGUUGUAAAGCUCUUUUAUCCGGGACGAUAAUGACGGUACCGGAGGAAUAAGCCCCGGCUAACUUCGUGCCAGCAGCCGCGGUAAUACGAAGGGGGCUAGCGUUGCUCGGAAUCACUGGGCGUAAAGGGCGCGUAGGCGGCGUUUUAAGUCGGGGGUGAAAGCCUGUGGCUCAACCACAGAAUGGCCUUCGAUACUGGGACGCUUGAGUAUGGUAGAGGUUGGUGGAACUGCGAGUGUAGAGGUGAAAUUCGUAGAUAUUCGCAAGAACACCGGUGGCGAAGGCGGCCAACGGA
rnacentral:rRNA from 1 species